rnacentral:rRNA from 1 species
UACAGAGGUCUCAAGCGUUGUUCGGAUUCAUUGGGCGUAAAGGGUGCGUAGGCGGUCUGACAAGUCUGAUGUGAAAUCUAUGGGCUCAACCCAUAGUCUGCAUCGGAAACUGUCGGGCUUGAGUAUGGGAGAGGUGAGUGGAAUUUCCGGUGUAGCGGUGAAAUGCGUAGAUAUCGGGAGGAACACCUGUGGCGAAAGCGGCGCACUGGACCACAACUGACGCUGAGGCGCGAAAGCUAGGGGAGCAAACAGG